rnacentral:rRNA from 1 species
GGUUAAGCGACUAAGCGUACACGGUGGAUGCCCUGGCAGUCAGAGGCGAUGAAGGGCGUGCUAAUCUGCGAUAAGCGCCGGUAAGGUGAUAUGAACCGUUAUAACCGGCGAUACCCGAAUGGGGAAACCCAGUGUGACUCGUCACACUAUCAUUAACUGAAUCCAUAGGUUAAUGAGGCGAACCGGGGGAACUGAAACAUCUAAGUACCCCGAGGAAAAGAAAUCAACCGAGAUUCCCCCAGUAGCGGCGAGCGAACGGGGAGGAGCCCAGAGCCUGAAUCAGCAUGUGUGUUAGUGGAAGCGUCUGGAAAGGCGCGCGAUACAGGGUGACAGCCCCGUACACAAAAGCGCAUGUGCUGUGAGCUCGAUGAGUAGGGCGGGACACGUGGUAUCCUGUCUGAAUAUGGGGGGACCAUCCUCCAAGGCUAAAUACUCCUGACUGACCGAUAGUGAACCAGUACCGUGAGGGAAAGGCGAAAAGAACCCCGGCGAGGGGAGUGAAAAAGAACCUGAAACCGUGUACGUACAAGCAGUGGGAGCACCCUUUGGGGUGUGACUGCGUACCUUUUGUAUAAUGGGUCAGCGACUUAUAUUCUGUAGCAAGGUUAACCGUAUAGGGGAGCCGGAGGGAAACCGAGUCUUAACCGGGCGUUAAGUUGCAGGGUAUAGACCCGAAACCCGGUGAUCUAGCCAUGGGCAGGUUGAAGGUUGGGUAACACUAACUGGAGGACCGAACCGACUAAUGUUGAAAAAUUAGCGGAUGACCUGUGGCUGGGGGUGAAAGGCCAAUCAAACCGGGAGAUAGCUGGUUCUCCCCGAAAGCUAUUUAGGUAGCGCCUCGUGAAUUCAUCUCCGGGGGUAGAGCACUGUUUCGGCUAGGGGGCCAUCCCGGCUUACCAACCCGAUGCAAACUGCGAAUACCGGAGAAUGUUAUCACGGGAGACACACGGCGGGUGCUAACGUCCGUCGUGAAGAGGGAAACAACCCAGACCGCCAGCUAAGGUCCCAAAGUCAUGGUUAAGUGGGAAACGAUGUGGGAAGGCCCAGACAGCCAGGAUGUUGGCUUAGAAGCAGCCAUCAUUUAAAGAAAGCGUAAUAGCUCACUGGUCGAGUCGGCCUGCGCGGAAGAUGUAACGGGGCUAAACCAUGCACCGAAGCUGCGGCAGCGACGCUGAUGCGUUGUUGGGUAGGGGAGCGUUCUGUAAGCCUGCGAAGGUGGCCUGUGAGGGUUGCUGGAGGUAUCAGAAGUGCGAAUGCUGACAUAAGUAACGAUAAAGCGGGUGAAAAGCCCGCUCGCCGGAAGACCAAGGGUUCCUGUCCAACGUUAAUCGGGGCAGGGUGAGUCGACCCCUAAGGCGAGGCCGAAAGGCGUAGUCGAUGGGAAACGGGUUAAUAUUCCCGUACUUGGUGUUACUGCGAAGGGGGGACGGAGAAGGCUAUGUUGGCCGGGCGACGGUUGUCCCGGUUUAAGCGUGUAGGUGUGUGUUCCAGGUAAAUCCGGUUCACUUUAACACUGAGGCGUGAUGACGAGGCACUACGGUGCUGAAGCAACAAAUGCCCUGCUUCCAGGAAAAGCCUCUAAGCAUCAGGUAACAUCAAAUCGUACCCCAAACCGACACAGGUGGUCAGGUAGAGAAUACCAAGGCGCUUGAGAGAACUCGGGUGAAGGAACUAGGCAAAAUGGUGCCGUAACUUCGGGAGAAGGCACGCUGACA